rnacentral:lncRNA from 1 species
AACUGAAAGGACAUCUCAUGGAGCACCGUGACCUGCCCUUGGAGGGCUCUCCUUAGACUGUGACUUCAUGCUCUGCUAUCUUAUCCGAGACCCCUACAUUUGGGAUUUCCCAUCCAGCCUGUCUCCCACUGAGCGCUUUGGAGCGGGCUCCCUUUUGCCCGGCAGGAGCAGCACCAAGCCCAGCAGAGUGGCUCCUGGUUGUCCCACCGGCUGCAAGCACCCGAUCCUGCUUGCUCCUGCCCGCACCUCCCUCGCCGUGCUGCCUGCACCUCCCCGUGAUAGAGGAACAAUGACCCGGGACAAGACCAAACCCGGUGUGGUUCUCUUUCCUCCUUCGGCUCUGCUGAAGACCACAGGAAUUACCCCAGGCAUGUCUUGCCAAGCCUUCGCCUUAAGCAGAGGAAGGAUGAAAAAUGCAGGGCCAGAGAUUCUCUUACAGCUGAAAACCACUGUCUGCUGUGCUGCUCCCUGGGACAGAGAAGAGCCUGUGUAGAACAAGCAGGGAAACAUCUCUACCACCCAGCACAACCCUUUUCUUCAGAGUGGGACAAGUGGAGAGUGGUGGAGGGGAAACGCGGUCCCUGUCUGGGGAGAUGCAGCCUUGUCUCCCACCCUCCUCUGCUUUUGAUUCUUGGAUGUAAAGGACUGGGAAAUUUAAACUUCAAAAGGGCUUUUUAGGUAGUUGCAUUGGAUGCCUCUUUCUUCCAAGCAGGUCGUAUGUGGGAAUUAUUUUUGUGGUAGUAGUGAGGUUAUCAUCUCUACUCUAAGCAGCUGCUCUUAACUGAGGAUUGCACAACAAAAAGAGACAGCUCCAGCAGUAUUUCUCCAGGACUGGAGAUCGCAAAAAUCCCCCAGCUAAAACACUUGUAGCAAAUAAACAAAUGCAGUGUAAGUGUUGCUGAAAUGCU